AUGAGUUGCGCAUUUGCAAACAAAGCCCCCUAUGCUAAACUAAUUAUUUAUGUAAAUUAUAGGCUUUGUACUUAAGUCGCGUUCCAAUGGUGACACAGAGGCGCGCGCGCGCUGAUGUUUGGUUCACUGUAUUUUAUUUGGUAAAGUGCCAACUGUGCUGUCAAGUUAGCAAUGCUGGAACUGAUAUGGUGUGUGUGUGUGUGUGUGUGUGUGUGCACUGUAAAAAAUCCAAUUAACCAAAUGUUGGAAGGCCAAAAAUAUUUAAGUUGAACUAAUUUUAUUGCUUGGGCUUAGUUGAGAAGACUUAUAUUAAGUAUGCACAAAUAUAUUUAAAAAACAUUAAAUGAAUGGUUAUUUUCAAAUCCAGUCAACAUUCAGAAAGCUAAAUGUUGACUAAACUAAUAAAAACAAAUCCAGCCAAAACUGAGAUCAUUCUGCACGUGCCUGAGUGACUUCGCGGGAGAAACAGCGCCGCCACCUUGUCAAGUUCACGCGUCAGGGUGUGGCCAAAGGUUUCAUUGGUGCUUUGUCGUCAUUGCAAGAUUUCAGAUGCAACCCAGUCAGUUCUUCCAAGGCACCAAACACUGGCUCGUGACCAGACUGCUCCACUGCAAUUACAUAUUGUUUGUGUACUUUCAAGACUAGGAGUUUAUUUUUUUUCAUUCCAGCCACCCAGUUAGUAUCCAGAUCAGAUGGUUACUGUAGUCACCCAGAUCCAGUCCGUAUCCAGAUCAGAUGGUGGAUCAGCACCUAGAGAAGACCUCUACAGCCAAUAAUGCUCAUCAGCUAGAUGAGCUCCAAAGACAGAUCCCCUCCGAAGACCUCGUUGGCCAUCGGGACAAGACCAAGAGAACCAGACAAGUCCUCUGCUCAAUCUGACCUGUGUUGCAGCCUAUAAUUAAACCACGCCAUUCUAGUUUCAUCUGGCCAGAGGAGAACUGCCCCCCGACUGAGCCUGGUUGCUCCCAAGGUUUUCUACUCAAUUUCUGUCACCGAUGGAGUCUUGGGUCCUUUCCGCUGUCGCCUUUGGUUUGCUUAUUUGGGGAUGCUUGGCUGAUUGCACAGACAUUACUGGAAGAGAGCUGAACUGGAUCAUGUCAACACUGAAUCACCAUUGAACUGACUUUAACUGAAAAAAUGACUUGUUAAUGUCUUCUUGCAUUAUUGACAUUUAUUUCAUAAUGAUAUUUCCCCCCAUUUUAAAUUCUUAUUAUCCAAUGAAAGGUUAGAUUUUUUUAUUUUUUUUAAAUAAGAUCAAUAUAUACAUACAUACACACACACAC